AUGAACGCUGGCGGCGUGCCUAAUCCAUGCAAGUCGAGCGAACAGACGAGGAGCUUGCUCCUUUGACGUUAGCGGCGGACGGGUGAGUAACACGUGGAUAACCUACCUAUAAGACUGGGAUAACUUCGGGAAACCGGAGCUAAUACCGGAUAACAUGUUGAACCGCAUGGUUCAACAGUGAAAGACGGUCUUGCUGUCACUUAUAGAUGGAUCCGCGCCGCAUUAGCUAGUUGGUAAGGUAACGGCUUACCAAGGCAACGAUGCGUAGCCGACCUGAGAGGGUGAUCGGCCACACUGGAACUGAGACACGGUCCAGACUCCUACGGGAGGCAGCAGUAGGGAAUCUUCCGCAAUGGGCGAAAGCCUGACGGAGCAACGCCGCGUGAGUGAAGAAGGUCUUCGGAUCGUAAAACUCUGUUAUUAGGGAAGAACAAAUGUGUAAGUAACUAUGCACGUCUUGACGGUACCUAAUCAGAAAGCCACGGCUAACUACGU
rnacentral:rRNA from 1 species